CUCAGUNCGGCGAGUGAAGCGGCAAGCUCAAAUUUGAAAUCUGGGGGUCCGAGUUGUAAUUUGCAGAGAGUGUUUCGGGCGAGGCCGCGGGCUAAGUCCAUUGGAACAUGGUGUCAUAGAGGGUGAGAAUCCCGUAUGCGACCGUGGUCCGAGCCCAUGUGAAGCCUCUUCGACGAGUCGAGUUGUUUGGGAAUGCAGCUCUAAAUGGGUGGUAAAUUUCAUCUAAAGCUAAAUACUGGCUGGAGACCGAUAGCGCACAAGUAGAGUGAUCGAAAGAUGAAAAGCACUUUGAAAAGAGAGUUAAAAAGUACGUGAAAUUGUUGAAAGGGAAGCGCUUGCGACCAGACCUGCCCGUAGGUGAUCAGCCCCUGUUCUCAGGGGUGCACUCGCUCUACGAUCAGGCCAGCAUCGGUUUGGGCGGUCGGAUACAGGCCUUGGGAAUGUAGCUUCCUUUCGGGGGAGUCUUAUAGCCCUCGGUGCAAUGCGGCCAGCCGGGACCGAGGACCGCGCUUCGGCUAGGAUGCUGGCGUAAUGGUUGUAAGCGACCCGUCUUGAAACACGGACCAAGGAGUCUAACAUCUAUGCGAGUGUUUGGGUGUCAAACCCAUGCGCGGAAUGAAAGUGAACGGAGGUGAGAACCCUUAAGGGUGCAUCAUCGACCGAUCCAGAUGUCUUCGGAUGGAUUUGAGUAUGAGCAUAGCUGUUGGGACCCGAAAGAUGGUGAACUAUGCCUGAAUAGGG
rnacentral:rRNA from 1 species